rnacentral:rRNA from 1 species
GAUGAACGCUGACAGCAUGCUUAACACAUGCAAGUCAACCGGAAAGUGGGUUUUUUUGUUCGGUUUGCGUGGCGGACGGGUGAGUAACGCGCAAAGAACUUGCCUCCCUGCUAGGGACAACAUUUGGAAACGAAUGCUAAUACCUAAUAUUAUGAUAAUAGGGCAUCCUAGAAUUAUGAAAGCUAUAGGCGCUGUGGGAGAGCUUUGCGUCCAAUUAGCUAGUUGGAGAGGUAACGGCUCACCAAGGCGAUGAUGGGUAGCCGGCCUGAGAGGGUGAUCGGCCACAAGGGGACUGGGGAACGGCCAUUACUCCAACGGGAGGAAGGGGUGGGAAAUUUUCGGAACUGGACCGAGAGUGUGAUGCAGCAAUUCUGUGUGCAAGAUGAAGUUUUUCGGGAUGAAAAGAGGUUUCAGUUGGGAAGAAACAAAUGACGGUACCAACAGAAGAAGUGACGGCUAAAUACGUG